GUUCCGUAGGUGAACCUGCGGAAGGAUCAUUACAGAAAGUAAACGCGGAUCAAACCGCGAACUUCUAAACCUUUGACGAUUGACUCAUGUUGCCUCGGCGGGUUCUCCCGCCAGAGGAUACAUCAAAACUCCUGUUUUAACGGUGUUGUCUGAGCUACAAGCAACGAAUCAAAACUUUCAACAACGGAUCUCUUGGUUCUGGCAUCGAUGAAGAACGCAGCGAAAUGCGAUAAGUAGUGUGAAUUGCAGAAUUCAGUGAAUCAUCGAAUCUUUGAACGCACAUUGCGCCCCUUGGUAUCCCGAGGGGCAUGCCUGUUCGAGCGUCAUUUCACCACUCAAGCCUGGCUUGGUGUUGGGCGACGUCCCCUUUGGGGACGCGCCUCGAAACGCUCGGCGGCGUGGCACCGGCUUUAAGCGUAGCAGAAUCUUUCGCUUUGAAAGUCGGGGCCCCGUCUGCCGGAAGACCUACUCGCAAGGUUGACCUCGGAUCAGGCAGGGAUACCCGCUGAACUUAAGCAUA
rnacentral:rRNA from 1 species